CCGGUCCUACGGGGCGCAGCAGUAGGGAAUAUUGCUCAAUGGGGGAAACCCUGAAGCAGCAACGCCGCGUGGAGGAUGAAGGGUUUCGGAUUGUAAACUCCUUUUGUUAGAGAAGAUAAUGACGGUAUCUAACGAAUAAGCACCGGCUAACUCCGUGCCAGCAGCCGCGGUAAUACGGAGGGUGCAAGCGCUACUCGGAAUCACUGGGCGUAAAGAGCGCGUAGGCGGGAUAGCAAGUCAGAUGUGAAAUCCU
rnacentral:rRNA from 1 species